UACGGGGGGGGGCAAGCGUUGUUCGGAAUUACUGGGCGUAAAGGGUUUGUAGGUGGCCAACUAAGUCAGACGUGAAAUCCCUCAGCUUAACUGGGGGAACUGCGUCUGAGACUGGAUGGCUUGAGUGCAGGAGAGGAACGCGGAAUUCCAGGUGUAGCGGUGAAAAUGCGUAGAUAUCUGGAGGAACACCGGUGGCGAAGGCGGCGUUCUGGACUGCAACUGACACUGAAAAAAACGAAAAGCCAGGGGGAGCAAAACGGGG
rnacentral:rRNA from 1 species